rnacentral:rRNA from 1 species
UACAGAGGGUGCAAGCGUUAAUCGGAAUUACUGGGCGUAAAGCGUGCGUAGACGGUUAUGUAAGUCAGAUGUGAAAGCCCCGGGCUUAACCUGGGAAUGGCAUUUGAGACUGCAUAGCUAGGGUGCGGAAGAGGGAAGCGGAAUUUCCGGUGUAGCGGUGAAAUGCGUAGAUAUCUGGAGGAACACCGGUGGCGAAGGCGGCAUCCUGGACCAACACUGACGCUGAGGCGCGAAAGCUAGGGGAGCAAACGGG